rnacentral:sRNA from 1 species
UCGCUCUUAAGUGAGUUCUGCGUGCUGUGGGCUGAAAAUUGCAUAUAAAAGCCAAUAAUAUUAGUUAUUACCAUGUAAAGAAGCUCAGUCAGUGCACUUUUUAUGUAUUUUUAUGUGUGUGUGUGUGUCAAUAGCUGAUACAAUUAAACGUAUACAACAUUUUUUUUUUCAAACGUCUUUGCCUAUUCUCCACUGCAACAGUAACGGGUCUUUAAUGUAGCAUAAGCAACAACAUUAAAUAAAUAACAAUUAAAAGCUUUGUAAAUAAUCAGUUAACCUAAAGGAAAAAGCAACUGCAAGCCAAAUUCAAGCAAUAAUACCAGAGCAACAAUUACAGAAUUAUAUUAAAAG